AGAUGUGUGUAUGUGUCACUGUGUGUAUCUGUGUGUCACUGUGUAUCUGUGUGCUACUAUGUGCCAGUGUGUGUAUCUGUGUGUCAGAUAAAUACUAAGACACACAGAUACACACUGACACACAGAUACACACACUUGCACAUACAAACACAG